CGGCCUUGACAUACUAAGAACUUCAGAGAUGGAUUGGUGCCUUCGGGAACUUAGAUACAGGUGCUGCAUGGCUGUCGUCAGCUCGUGUCGUGAGAUGUUGGGUUAAGUCCCGNAACGAGCGCAACCCUUUUCCUAUUUGCCAGCGGGUCAUGCCGGGAACUUUAAGGAUACUGCCAGUGACAAACUGGAGGAAGGCGGGGACGACGUCAAGUCAUCAUGGCCCUUACGGCCAGGGCUACACACGUGCUACAAUGGUCGGUACAAAGGGUUGCUACCUCGCGAGAGGAUGCUAAUCUCAAAAAGCCGAUCGUAGUCCGGAUCGCAGUCUGCAACUCGACUGCGUGAAGUCGGAAUCGCUAGUAAUCGCGGAUCAGAAUGCCGCGGUGAAUACGUUCCCGGGCCUUGUACACACCGCCCGUCACACCAUGGGAGUUUGUUGCACCAGAAGUAGGUAGUCUAACCGCAAGGAGGACGCUUACCACGGUGUGGCCGAUGACUGGGGUGAAGUCGUAACAAGGUAGGCGUAGAUGA
rnacentral:rRNA from 1 species